UCAUAACUCUCCAAGAGGAAGAUACUAUAUGCAGUGAUUCCUAACUUACUGGCCACAGAACUCUUCUUUCUUGAAGCAUCUUAAGGAACUGAUACAAUUGUGAAAGUUGGGGGACAUGUUCUUAAGGAUAUCUCUGACACAGCACAGAAGAGAUCAUCAAUAAAUGUUAAAGAAGGAAGAGAAGGAAGAAGGGAAGGGAAGGAAGAAGGGAAGGGAAGGAAAGAAGGAAAAAAAGGAAGGAAGGAGCAAGCAAACGAAUGAAUCCAAUCUUCUGGCAGCUUUCCUGUCCUCCAUCAUUCCUGGAAGAUGCCCAACAGUGAUGCAUUGAUCUCAUUUACAAAUUCUGUCAGUGCGCUGAGUAACAGUUCCCAAGUUUAUCACUCAGGGCAUAAAUUACUGUGGUUCUGCAAGAUAUUAAUUCAUUCACAGUGACUAAUUUGCCUCCUAUUUGAUGAUAAUGCCAACUAUUGACUAAGGCAAAAUUACUCAGCUUGCCAACCAAAAAAACAAAAUCACUUAUUCAGAAAAUGGCUCAUCUAGGAAAGAAGCAGCUGCUUUUGAAAUUGACACAGAUGAGCUAAAAUUUGAUUCUCUAGAAAAAGAUUAAUUUUGAUGAUUCAUUUGGCUCAGUGGUCAGGUUUUGGUGAAGACAAGGAAAGUGGAAAUGAAGGAUAAGGGAACACAGAAUAGACCUAUCUACUGAAUCACCUAAGACUGGGACCAAGAAUCUGAACAUAAUGAGUUUCCUAUGUCCCUCUGUGCACGCUACAGUUUGAGAAUGGCUGCCCUGGAAGAGAGUUCCAGACAUUGCUAGAAGCACAGAUGAAGAAGGUGGCAUGUGUGCUGGUUCUGGUACCCGUGGCCCAUUUACUCAGGGGAGAAAUCAUCCAUGUGGCAUGCUGGCUUGGCACCUAGAUCAACAAGAAGAUGCAGUGAGAGAGAGAGAGAGAGAGAGAGAGAGAAUGCCCAGACCAGAGAACAACUUUUAGACACAUUUGACUCACGCAAUCGACACACUUUGACUGACAAGACCUCUGACUCACCUAUUUCUGCUCCUCUCUCAUAAAUCACUCAUACUAUGGCCAGAAAAAGCCAUCACAUGCAGUGCGAUGCAUUUCAGCAUCACUUCGGAGCUCCAGGUGGAAGAUGCAGUGGAGGCAACAUUGACUGUGACCUGGAUGUGGAGCGGCCCAACCUCAGGCCCGCCUUGCUUCCCAAGGUGAUCCAGGCACUGUUGCCGGCUUGUUCCAUCCUUGAUUGAAACCUCUUCUGUGCACAGUCUUCUAAAGAACAUAAGCCAAAGGC